AUAGACUUUGGGCUUCAGUCAGGAGGCGGGUCCAGCGACUGUUUAUAAACUGUUUGGUCACUCUCAAACUUUGGGAGAAGCACUUCUGUCCACGGAGAUAACAACAGCGUCUGCGCCAGGUAACUGGGCAGUUGUGAAGGUCUUCUGUGAGGUGGAGACACUGAAUUCAAGAUGGAUCGCCAUAGCAAUGACUCUGGCUUCAGUGAUGACAGCAGUGCCUCCAAUAACAGCAUUGAACAACCUCCUUCUUUAAUACGUAAGUCUGCAAAUUAUAUUGCUUUCAAAC